UUUCCGUAGGUGAACCUGCGGAAGGAUCAUUGUCGAAACCUGCCCAGCAGAACGACCCGCGAACUUGUAUAAACAACCGGGGGCGGGGGGCGUUCUCGCCCCGUGCCCCCGAACGGCGGGGAGACACUCGUGCCUUCUUGCCGAACAACGAACCCCGGCGCGGUCUGCGCCAAGGAACUUCAACUAAAGUGUGCCUCCGGUCGCCUCGGAAACGGCGUGCGUGCCGGGGGCGAAUCUUGUGCAAAACCAUAACGACUCUCGGCAACGGAUAUCUCGGCUCUC
rnacentral:misc_RNA from 1 species